AAUGAACGCUGGCGGCAUGCCUAACACAUGCAAGUCGAACGAGACCUUCGGGUGUAGUGGCCCCUGGGUUCGUCACGCGUGGGAACCUGCCCUUAGGUUCGGCAUACCUCCCCGACAGGGGUGCUAAUACCGGACAAUGUCUUCGGACCAAAGAUAUUUCGCGCUUGGUGGGGCACGCGUUGGAUUCGCUAGUUGGUAUGGUAAAAGCCUACCAAGGCGACGAUUCAUAGCUGGUCUGAGAGGAUGGGCACCGACACUGAGACUGAGACACGGCCCAGACUCCUACGCGAUGCAGGAGAGGGUAAUAGUGCACCGCGGGCGGAAUGCUGAUCCAGCAAGGACGGGAGAGUGAUGAAGGUCUUGGGGUUGUAAAGCUCUUUUACCCGGGAUGAUAAUGACAGUACCGGGAGAAUAAGCCCCGGCUAACUCCGUG
rnacentral:rRNA from 1 species